UUUGGGAAUCUGAGUGCAGGGGACAUGGGACUUCCUUACACGAUUUGGGCAACUUUUCUAUACAUUCGAGAUCAUUUCAAAACAAUUAAAAUAUAUACACACGCAUAACCACUCUCCCUGGGAAGCCCUUUGCUUAGGAAAUAGUUACCAGAGUCAAAUUUUAAAAUUUUUAUUUAUAUGAAUAAAGAAACAUUAUAAAUAUUGAGAAAUAUUUUUUGAAAGUUGCAGUGUUACAGGUAAUAAAGGUUCUCAAAAUAAAACUACUGUGGCACUACUGAGUAAGGAUUUCUCUCUGGAUUUUUUUUCCCAAGUGAGAGUUUUGGGUGAAUUUGCACUGAGACAGCUAUCCCACUUGCAAAUGACAGACUCUUUCUACAUAAUAAGCUGGGUUAGGCCAAGUCUUUAAUAGGGAGCUGUUCUUCCAGAAAUCGCUCAUGAUCUUGGUCUACUUAGUACUUUGCUUCAAGGUCUUAGGCAAGCAAGGAUAAAUAACAGAUGUCACCUCCUUAAACAUAAUUAAUCUCCAUUCAACUUUAGGGUACCUGAGAGCAAGGGCUGUAUGUUACAAUUUUCUUUUUUUUUUUUUUUAAGAUGGAGUCUCACUCUGUAGCCCAGGCUGGAGUGCCGUGGCGCAAUCUGGGUUCACUGCAACCUCCACCUCCUGUGGUCAAGUGAUUCUUGUGCCUCAGCCACUGGAGUAGAUGUGAUUACAGGCACCCAUCACCACGCCCGGCUAAUUUUUGUAUUUUUAGUAGAGACAGGGCCAUGUUGGCCAGGCUGGUCUUGAACUCCUAACCUCAGGUGAUCCACCUGUCUCAGCCGCCUAAAGUGCUGGGAUUACAGGCAUGAACCACCAUGCCCGGCCUUUUUUUUUUUUUUUUUUUCUUUAUUGAGACAGUCUUGCUCUGGAGUUCAGUGGCAUGAUAUGAUCUCGGCUCACUGCAACCUCUGCCUCCCGGGUUCAAGUGACCCUCCCACCUCAGCCUCCCGUGUGUGUGUGUGUUACAGUUCUUUUAUUCUCCUACAGUGCUUAGCAGUGGCCACUCUGUUUGAAAGGCAUUCUUUUUGACUGAUUUAAAACAUCCACUUGUGUAUGGAAAAAGCCCUCUUUAGUGGUAUGGAAAAUAUAAUAGUACUGGAAUCAUAAUAAAAUCAUCUACAUAUGCAAACCAAUUUCAGGGAAAAAAACUAUAAAAAUAUCUUUCUAAUAAAAUUUGAAUGCCUUAGUCUGAGUUUCAAAGGCCUCCAUUAAAUGAUGCACUAGCUCAACAAAUUCCUUUCUCAUUACUCCAAAAGACUUGUUUCUAAUUAGCUAAUUUGUUACUUCCAAAGUCAACAUAUUUCUGACAAUAAUACAAUCAAAUGUAUUGCUCAUCCCCAAAUUGAUCUACAGAUUGAAAGCAAUCACUAUGAAAACCCCAACUGUUUUUUUUUUCUUUCAGAAAUUAACAAGCUGAUCUUAAAAUUCAUAUGGAAAUGCAAGGGACCCAGAGUAGCCAAAACAAUCCUGAAACAGAAGAACAGUUGGAAAACUCACACUUCCCAAUUUCAAAACUUUCUACAAAGCUGCAGUAAUCAAGUAACGAAGACAGUAAUAAAGACAUAAAGAUAGCCAUAUAGAUCAAAAUAAUCAAUUGAAUUGAGAGUUCAGAAAUAAACUCUUACAUUUACGGUCAACUGAUUUUUAACAAGAGUGCCAAGAUGAUCUACUGGGAUGUGGGAGGGAGGGGGUAAUAUAGUCUUUUAAACAAAUGGUACAAGGAAAAACAAUGUCCACAUGCAAAGAAUGAAGUUGGACCCUUACCUCACACCAUAUACAAAAAAUAACUCAAAAUGGACCAAAGACCUAAAUGUAAGAACUAAAACUAUAAAUUUGAGGGUUUUCUAUUUCUGUGAAGAAUGUCAUUGCAAUAUUGAUAGAGAUUGUGUUGAAUCUGUGGAGCACUUUGGGAAGUAUGAACAUUUUAAUAAUGUUAAUUAUUCUAAUCCAUGAACAUAGGAUACUAUUUGUGUCUUCAGUUUCUUUCAUCAAUGUUUUGUAGUUUUCAUUGUAGAGAUCUUUUGCCUACUUGGUUAAAACUUCCUAGGGUUUUUGUUUUGUUUUUUGUAGCAAUUGUGAAUGGGAUUGCUGUUUUCUUUUUCAGAUAGUUCACUAUUGGCAUAUAGAAAUGCUACUGAUUUUUGUAUGUUGCUUUUGUAUCCUGCAACUUUACUGAAUUUAUUACUUCUAGCAGUUUUUUGGUGGAAUCUUUAGGGUUUUGUGUGUAUAAAUUCAUGUCAUCUGCAGACAGGAAGUUUGACUUCUUUCUUUCCAAUUUAGAUGCCCUUUGUUUCUUUCUCUUGCAUAAUUACUGUGGCUAGGACUUCCAGUACUAUGUUGACUAGAAGUAGUGAAAGUGGCUAUCCUUGUCUUGUUCCAGAUUUUAGAGAAAAAGCUUUCAACGUGUCCUCAUUCAGUAUGUUAGCUGUGUGUCUGUCAUACAUGGUCUUUAUUUACAAACUAUGCAUCUGACAAGGGGUUAAUGUCCAGAGUAUAUAAGAAACUCAACACCAAAAAAAAAAAAAAAAUCCAAAAAAAAAACCCCACAAAUAAUCUGAUUUUAAAAUGGACAAAAGAUCUAAAUAGACAUUUCUUGAAAGUAUACAAAUGGCCAACAGAUAUAUGAAAAAAUGCUCAACAUCACUAAAUGUGAUGGAAAUGCAAAUAGUGUAUCUACACAAACCUAGAUAGCGUAGCCUGCCACAUACCUAAGUCAUAUAGAGUAUAUCCUAUUGCUUCUAGGCAACAAACAGGUAUGGCAUGUUAUCAUACCGAAUACUGUAGGCAAUUGUAACACAAUGGUAAGUACUUGUGUAUCUAAACAUAGAAAAAGUACAGUAAAAAUAUGGCAUAAAAGAUAAAUAGUACACCUGUAGAAGGCACUCACAAUGAAUGGCACUUGCUGGCCUAGAAGUUGCUCUGGGUGAGUGAAGGAAUGAGUAGUGAGUGAAUUGUGAAGGCCUAGGACAUUACUGUAUACUACUGCAGACUUAACAAACACUAUAUAAUUAGGCUACACUAAAUUUAUUUUAAAACUUUUUAAUAAUAAAUUUAAUUUAGCUUACUGUAACGUUUUUGCUUCCUAAACAUUUUUUUUUCCCUUGGAGACACGGUCUCAUUCUGUCACCCAUGCUGGAGUGCAGUGGCAUGAUCAUGGCUCACUGCAUUCUCAGUCUCCUUGGGCUCAAGCAAACCUCCUGCCUUUUUGUAUUUUUUGUAGAGAUGGGGUUUCACCAUGUUGCUCAGGCUGGUCUUGAAUUCUUGGGCUCAAGUGAUGCACCUGCCUCGGCCUCCCUAAGUGCUGAGACUACACGCGUGAGCCACUGCACUCAGCCUAAACUUCUUAACUUUUUGACUCUUACAGCUAUACAAAAAUAUUU
rnacentral:lncRNA from 10 species